rnacentral:lncRNA from 1 species
CAGUUACUCACUGAGGUACCAUUUUCUUCGAAGACAUUUCUCCAUGGAAGCAGGUCUUUGGCUGGUUGUGGGGAAGAAGAUUUGAAUUUUGACCUCGUCCCAGAACAGAACCCACCAUGCAUCACGUGAAUGGCAAAUGUGCCUAGCGUGGGGAUCGUGGGCUGACUGGAACAUGAAUGUCUGCUUUCUUGACUGGAGGAGUCAGCAUUCUCUUCCGUGGAUUAAUCUUCUUGAAGAGGUAGCCGGGAGUACAGCAAAGCAUGCUGGACUUGGAGUCGGGAGGCUAGAAUUCCAAAUCUUGUCUUGUGUGACCUUGAAUAUAUCAUCUGACUGCUCUGGACCUCAGUCUAUCAUCCAUAAAAUGGGAUAAUAAUAUCUGCCUGACCUGCCUCCCAGUGAGUCCCAUGAGAUGUAGUUCCCACAGAGAGAUGACCACAUCUGGCUUGCAAGAACUUCCUAAGGUAUUUACCUUUUUUUUUUCUUCCUAGAUAUAAUAUAUAAUUAGCAUAUUACAUAUACUAAGUGGUGCAGUGGAUAGACCUCUCGGCCUGGAGUCAGAAGACUCUUCUUCCUGAGCUGAAAUCUGGCUUCAGAUACUUAUUAGCUGUGUGACUCUGGGCAUGUCAUUUCCCACUGUUUGCCUCAGUUUUCUCAUGUGUAAAAUAGACCGGAGAAGGAAAUGACAACCCCCUGCAGUAUCUAAACCAAGAAAUCCCCAAAUUAGGUCUCGGAAGAAUUAGACAUGACUGAAAAUGGCUGAAUAACGACAGCAGCUAUCUAUGUAUCUCUCUCUCUAUGGAGGAGGAGAAUGCAGCACCUGGAGGAUAGGACUCCUGGGGCUUUUGUCUCCUGGUUCUUAUCCCAGUUUCCUUUGCAGUGUACCAUGCUGUCUUCCAAGGGAUGUGAAGGUGCCUGGGGAGAGCACCAAAGGUCCUUUCCCUCUAGCAGUGGGUAUUCUUUUCCUAUUCUCCCAUUGACCGUUUCCUUUAUCAUAUAUGUGAGACUUGAUUGAGUUCAGUCCUACUUCCCCCUCCAGAUUAAUUUAUUUAUUUAGAUUUUUUUUUGGACUAGGUGAAAGAGGAGAUUCUUUGCCUCAGUUGCUCCCUAGCCUUCAUCCCUGAUUGGGCGUUGCUUCAGUCAAACCGAGACCCG